CCUACGGGGGGCAGCAGUGGGGAAUAUUGGACAAUGGGGGAAACCCUGAUCCAGCCAUGCCGCGUGUGUGAUGAAGGCCUUCGGGUUGUAAAGCACUUUCGCACGUGAGGCGGUAACGUGAGAAGAAGCCCCGGCUAACUUCGUGCCAGCAGCCGCGGUAAUACGAAGGGGGCAAGCGUUGUUCGGAAUUACUGGGCGUAAAGGGCGCGUAGGCGGUGCACUAAGUCAGGCGUGAAAGCCCUGGGCUCAACCCGGGAACUGCGCUUGAUACUGGUGCGCUUGAAUCCAGGAGAGGUUGGUGGAAUUCCCAGUGUAGAGGUGAAAUUCGUAGAGAUUGGGAAGAACACCGGUGGCGAAGGCGGCCAACUGGACUGGAUUGACGCUGAGGCGCGAAAGCGUGGGGAGCAAACAGGAUUAGAUACCCUUGUAGUC
rnacentral:rRNA from 1 species